ensembl:lincRNA
UGUCUUGGAGCAUUGCAAGUAUUUUUGGUGUUUCUUGGAGUAUUGCAAGUAGCUGUGGACUGGCCUUGCUGUUUGUGUUACCAAGCUGGCGAGGUGACAAGUGGCAGAGCCAGGUUCAACAGAAGGCGCAACAUGCCCGCCACUUGGCUGCUCUUCUGUGCCAGGAGCUGGCAGACGGUGAAGGCACCAUAUGUCCUCACAAGGAAGACACCGGCGAGGUUGAGGAGGAACCCAUGCUCGUGGACGAUUGGGACGAACUAUGGUGCGAAUCCUUACUCAUACCGACAGCAUCUUUGGACGCAGCACACACCAUGGUCAGGCUCGGUUUGUGCACUCACUGCCACAGGCGGAGAAACAGGACAGAACGCAUGGGAAGGACAAGCCAAUCUGUGAGGAUCUCGCUUACAGACAGGAUGACUUACGCCAUUGCUACCAACAAAGAACUGAAGAAAAGUGCACCUGAACCCCCAGCUCUACCACCGAGUCAUCCUGAACCUAAGAGCGAGGGUCUUGCUUGGCUUGGUAGGGCAACAGCAACUCCAGCAUGCAAGGAUCUGACAUGGGUGACAGGGGCACCUGCCAAGCCUGUGGUCAGCCAGCCAAGCCGCUCUUCGACAAAGGAUCCUCUGCUUCAUGUACCCAAGGAUGUGACUAGUCACGUGUACAGGAUAUGCACACCGUGCCCUGUGCAGAUCACCACACUCUGGUUGCAUUGCUUUAUCUCUCACAUGGUGGUGCUUGCCGGGAUCACCACCUCCACUAUAAAGAAAUUCGCACACCCAGAGCAUCCAAAAGAAGACCUUCAUCUGGGAACUCGAUAAAGCAGGUUUCUUACAGCAUCUCUUAUAGAAACGAAAGUCUGGAUCCACGGAAACACGCGUCUUUCAUCCACCAUCUGCUCCAGGGUGACCAAGCACGUAACGGAUAUAAUGACCUGCCGAGCGUCGGUCAGCUUUCCGCUUCACCCACGUGGAUUUGAUCUGAAAAUGACUUCCUGAUCGAUUUUACUUAUUUAUUUCUUUUUUGUACUGGGAUUCUUACUUUUCCAGUUCAGCCAAGCGGUGCGUUUCACCACCGUCGUGAUCACUGCCAAUAUAUGAAUAAAUUGGCAUUUCCCUUCUGAUCUAGCCGAAUGGAUUCACAUGUUUUCAUAGAUCACUCUUUUAUCCUUGUAAAUAAUUGAUGAAACACUUUCUGGGGCAGGAUAUAACAACAUUAAAUAUUGAUAAGAUGUGGUGAAAUUUCCAUGUCUCUAUUUUGAGAGGGGCUCAUGGAAGUUAAGAAAUUACAUUAAUUUGAUCAUAUCCCACUACAGGCUUACUAUUUAACUGGUCAACUUAAGAAGGGAAUCCGAGACCAAAGAAGGUGAUAAUGGCACAGGUCCAUGACUUCUUGUGGUCGAAACGGUUACCAUUUUCUACAAUGGCUAACCUGAAACCCUCUGUCUUUGACAGAACAUUUCACAAGAUAUGGCAAUGGAAUGAUGGGGUUUCCAGAAAUUAUUAUUGCCAAAUGUAUUUGUAUUUUCUCAUGAGGCCAUCAAAAAUGGGUCUCGCUGAUUAUGUAUCACUCGGGCUAUGAGGAUACGUUUAGAUAUGGACGCUCGCUUGUUAGCUAUUUAGCCUGGCUUCAAACGUCGAUCAAGCUAUAAGCUGUCACCCUGGUGUCUUGCAUUGAUAUGUGUGCUACGUCCAUCGGACAUUGAGCCAGACGACCUGAUUCCCAUCACUGGUUGAUGGUGGGAUGUUAAAGAUCCCUGUUAUCACCAGCACCGUGAAUAAAUUACAAAUUCCUCCCCAAAUCGUCUGCUGUCUAACGUCAGGCUUGGCUAGCUGGUUCAUUAAAAAAAAUUGUGGAAAAAAUCAUUUCCAGACAAACUCCACGGGAAUGUGGGAUUACUCGGGGCCGUUCAAGAAGUAGGAGAGUCGUGUAGCACGGCUUAAAAAAAAAAUGUUCCAC